UGAAAGAGAUAGAAAAUACUGAGUCGCAUUAUAAGACUGAUCGAUUAGAGUAAUAUAUUGGUUUGAGUUGAAGUGAACUCAUCUAAUUGAGAACAAGUCAUUGCCUCCCUUACUGACAUUACUAGUUUAAUGCGAGUUAUUUAAAGAAGGUUACUUACCGAACGAUGACACAUUUGUCAAAGGCUUCAUCUUCCAAGGAUAAAAAAAAAAAACAAAUCAAGAACAAAAACUUAGUGAAUCGUGUAUUAUGUAUUUGACUUGAGAAUGUUGGAGUUUCCGAUACAUAUUCUUCUUGCAAAAACAUUCUCGAAUUUGCAUGAUAAAAGUCUUGACACUCUC
rnacentral:lncRNA from 1 species